rnacentral:rRNA from 1 species
GGCGAACGGGUGAGUAACACGUGGGUAAUCUGCCCUGCACUCUGGGAUAAGCCUGGGAAACUGGGUCUAAUACUGGAUAUGACCUUUCUCCUUAUGGGGUUUGGUGGAAAGUUUUUCGGUGUAGGAUGAGCCCGCGGCCUAUCAGCUUGUUGGUGGGGUGAUGGCCUACCAAGGCGACGACGGGUAGCCGGCCUGAGAGGGUGAUCGGCCACAUUGGGACUGAGAUACGGCCCAG